rnacentral:tRNA from 1 species
GAGGGUAUAGCUCAGUGGUAGAGUGCGUGCUUAGCAUGCACAAGGUCCUGGGUUCCAUCCCCAGUACUUCUG